UACGUAGGGUGCGAGCGUUAAUCGGAAUUACUGGGCGUAAAGCGUGCGCAGGCGGCGCGUUAAGUCAGGUGUGAAAGCCCCGAGCUUAACUUGGGAAUUGCGCUUGUGACUGGCGUGCUGGAGUGUGGCAGAGGGAGGUGGAAUUCCACGUGUAGCAGUGAAAUGCGUAGAUAUCGGGAGGAACACCUGUGGCGAAAGCGGCGCACUGGACCACAACUGACGCUGAGGCGCGAAAGCUAGGGGAGCAAACAGG
rnacentral:rRNA from 1 species